rnacentral:tRNA from 1 species
AGUCCUAUGGUCUAGUGGUAUGACGUUCGCUUCACAUUAAGUGCAGUUCAAGCUUUUCUAAAGCGCGAAAGGUCCUGGGUUCGAUCCCCAGUGGGACUA